rnacentral:ncRNA from 2 species
ACGCCUGAGGAGCGCUGCGACGGGGCAAGGCAACAGGCCAGGGCGGAUGCCCGGCAGAAUGUCCCCCGCCAGGCUCAGGCAACCAGCUGUCGCGCAUCGCGUGGCGGCAUGCAACGGCGCUCACCUUUG